rnacentral:sRNA from 1 species
UAGGUGGUGGUUCUUCAGGAGUGCGUGGCUUCAAGUCCCCUAAAGGAAAGAAAAAACCAGGUCCGGACCCUAUUUGUCAGUGGCCUUCCUCUGGAUAU